rnacentral:misc_RNA from 1 species
GAUGAAGAACGUAGUGAAAUGCGAUAAGUAAUGCGAAUUGCAGAAUCCGUGAGUCAUCGAAUCUUUGAACGCACAUUGCGCCCCCUGGUAUUCCGGGGGGCAUGCCUGUCCGAGCGUCAUUGCUGCCCUCAAGCCCGGCUUGUGUGUUGGGUCUCGUCCCCCUUCCCGGGGGGACGGGCCCGAAAGGCAGCGGCGGCACCGUGUCCGGUCCUCGAGCGUAUGGGGCUUUGUCACCCGCUCUGUAGGCCCGGCCGGCGCUUGCCGAUCAACCAAAACUUUUUUCCAGGUUGACCUCGGAUCAGGUAGGGAUACCCGCUGAACUUAAGCAUAUCAAUAAGCGGAGGA